rnacentral:rRNA from 1 species
UACGUAGGUGGCAAGCGUUACUCGGAAUCACUAGGCGUAAAGCGCAGGUAGGAGGUUUGGUAAGUCUAUUGUGAAAGCUCCCGGCUUAACUGGGAGAGGUCAAUGGAAACUACCAGGCUGGAGUGCGGUAGAGGUAGCUGGAAUUCCCGGUGUAGCGGUGAAAUGCGUAGAUAUCGGGAGGAAUACCUAUGGCGAAAGCAGGCUACUGGACCGUCACUGACUCUGAUCUGCGAAAGCUAGGGGAGCAAACGGG